ACCCAACCGGGCCAGUUUCACCCUCAUGUGUCAGGGGUGUGUACAGAGUGUGUAACGAGGGUGUAACGAGGGUGUAUGGAGUCACUUCCCGACAGUACGACCUGUGAGAACACCAGCGUGUGAUUUUUGACGAGGAUCUGAUGCUUGUCACUUCAGUACGAAGACUCGGAGAGACUCUCAGCAUCACACCAUGAUAAACGUUUGGAAAACACACACACACACACACACACACACAGUGUGGAUACGAUAUGAAUCGGUGUGUGUUAGUGAGGUGAUUCAAUUUCACUCCUUCAUUCAGCAGCUCCAGCAAAUAAACCAACCAAGAACCACAAAACAUCAAACAUCUCAGAUCAUUUUAAUAAAAGAGCAGCAAAUUUCACCUUCAGUCUGAUUAUUCAGGUACAAAAAUAAUAACAUAAUAAGAAGAAUAACAAGAAUAAUAACUCAUCAGUAGCUGAUCUGAUAAUCGAUUAUAUUUUGGGUUAUUGGUUGGUUGGUUGAUUUCGUGAAAAGAAACCGGAGCCACACAGUCACAGGACCAGGAUCAAACCCAGGUCCCAGGAUCCCACGCUAAUGUGCAGCACCCAAACUAACAGCGGCACCCGUGAUUCUGUUACACGCCAAUUCAGCAAUUAAAGAGGAAGUUUUUUU